rnacentral:hammerhead_ribozyme from 1 species
AUCAAGCUGACGAUUCCAAAAUAGGACGAAACGCGCGUUCUGGAU